rnacentral:rRNA from 1 species
GAUUAGCCAUGCUAGUCGCACGAGUUCAGACUCGUGGCGAAUAGCUCAGUAACACGUGGCCAAACUACCCUUCGGAACACGAUACCCUCGGGAAACUGAGGCUAAUAGUGUAUACCACAUCACCACUGGAAUGAGUGAUGUGCCAAACGCUCCGGCGCCGAAGGAUGUGGCUGCGGCCGAUUAGGUAGACGGUGGGGUAACGGCCCACCGUGCCAAUAAUCGGUACGGGUCAUGAGAGUGAGAACCCGGAGACGGAAUCUGAGACAAGAUUCCGGGCCCUACGGGGCGCAGCAGGCGCGAAACCUUUACACUGCACGACAGUGCGAUAGGGGGAUCCCAAGUGCACAGGCAUAGCGCCUGUGCUUUUCGGUACCGUAAGGUGGUACCAGAAUAAGGGCUGGGCAAGACCGGUGCCAGCCGCCGCGGUAAUACCGGCAGCCCAAGUGAUGGCCGAUCUUAUUGGGCCUAAAGCGUCCGUAGCUGGCCGCGCAAGUCCAUCGGGAAAUCCACCUGCUCAACAGGUGGGCGCCCGGUAGAAACUGCGUGGCUUGGGACCGGAAGGCGCGACGGGUACGUCCGGGGUAGGAGUGAAAUCCCGUAAUCCUGGACGGACCGCC